rnacentral:lncRNA from 10 species
UGAUCAAUUCCCACCUAUGAGUGAGAACAUGCAGUGUUUGGUUUUCUGUCCUUGUGAUAGUUUGCUGGGAGUGAUGGUUUCCAGCUUCAACCAUGUCCCUGCAAAGGACAUGAACUCAUCCUUUUUUAUGGCUGCAUAGUAUUCCAUGGUGUAUAUGUGCCACAUUUUCUUAAUCCAGUCUAUCACUGAUGGACAUUUGGGUUGGUUCCAAGUCUUUGCUAUUGUGAAUAGUGCCACAAUAAACAUACAUGUGCAUGUGUCUUUAUAGUAGCAUGAUUUAUAAUCCUUUAGGUAUAUAACCAGUAAUGGGAUUGCUGGGUCAAAUGGUAAUUCUAGUUCUAGAUCCUUAAGGAAUCGCCACACUGUCUUCCACAAUGGUUGAACUAAUUUACACUCCCACCAACAGUGUAAAAGCGUUCCUAUUUCUCCACAUCCUCUCCAGAAUCUCUAAACAUCAAGUCUUAACCUCGCCUAGGUCUGCUGGUGUCCACUCCCUCAGCCCCCACCCACGACCCUCUGCCUCAGAGAGUUCUAUCUCCUCAUCAUUCGACUUCAACGCAAAACUUCACUUUCUCUUUCCCAAGAAGGUUGCUUGCCUUGUUCCCAAUCAGGUAAAAAAUAUAAUGAAAAAAGAGCAGGAGGGUAGGUAAUAACUAGUCAUUUAGACAUAAACAUUCAGCAUUAACAGCAACCCAUUUGUCAUUCAUCUGCAAGAUUGCCUCCAAGAUCUCUGAGCCAAAAGUUUUCAACUGGACACUUUAAGGAAAGAAACUGACCUCGAAUAUGGACUUUCACACCAUGACCCUAAGCCAUGUCCCAUCUCUCUUUUUCAGGCCUGAUGAUCCCACCACACCCCAGCCUCCAUCCUAUCUCAGUGCCUUUGCCCAGGAUGUUCUGCCUCCUUUGCUGCCUUACCAAAGCUAUUUGUCCUUCUUGGCUCUGCUCAAAUGUCACCACCUUUGGGAAACCUUCCCAGCUCUCCUGGGUACUUCCUCUUCUGGGCCCCAUAGCACUUAACACCUAUCUUUGUUUCUUUGUCUCCCUUUCUUGACUGUGAGAUACAUGAGGGAAGGGUUCCUUGUAUGCACUUCCUUUAACACACUGGAUGGAAUACAACUGACUCUCAAUAAAUAUUUGCUUAAUAAAUGAAGGAUCCAAUAAUAAUGGGAAACAUGUUCCGGAACACUAGUGCUG